rnacentral:rRNA from 1 species
GAUGAACGCUGGCGGCGUGCUUAACACAUGCAAGUCGAACGAAGCACUUAAGACAGAAUUCUUCGGAAGGACGAUUUAAGUGACUGAGUGGCGGACGGGUGAGUAACGCGUGGGCAACCUGCCUCAUACAAGGGGAUAACAGUUAGAAAUAGCUGCUAAUACCGUAUAAGCUUACAGUACCGCAUGGUACGGUAAGAAAAACUCCGGUGGUAUGAGAUGGGCCCGCGUCUGAUUAGCUAGUUGGUAAGGUAACGGCUUACCAAGGCGACGAUCAGUAGCCGACCUGAGAGGGUGACCGGCCACAUUGGGACUGAGACACGGCCCAAACUCCUACGGGAGGCAGCAGUGGGGAAUAUUGCACAAUGGGGGAAACCCUGAUGCAGCGACGCCGCGUGAAGGAAGAAGUAUUUCGGUAUGUAAACUUCUAUCAGCAGGGAAGAAAAUGACGGUACCUGACUAAGAAGCCCCGGCUAAUUACGUGCCAGCCGCCGCGGUAACAC